GACUGCCCGAGAACCCUUCCUUUUGUUUGUUUUACUGCCGAGAGACGCAAACAGAUGGUGAGGCUGGAGGUCAAAUCAAGUGAAAAUGUGAACGACCCUGCGGUGAGAACAGAGAUCCUGCUGCAGAUCAGGAACAUACUGAAGGAGAACGGGCUGAUGGUUUAUUCAAAGCUCUCAUGGAAAGUUCAGCCAGAUGGAAAUGUUUUCC